rnacentral:rRNA from 1 species
UACGUAGGGCGCAAGCGUUAUCCGGAAUUAUUGGGCGUAAAGAGCUCGUAGGCGGUUUGUCGCGUCUGCCGUGAAAGCCCGGGGCUCAACUCCGGAUCUGCGGUGGGUACGGGCAGACUAGAGUGAUGUAGGGGAGACUGGAAUUCCUGGUGUAGCGGUGAAAUGCGCAGAUAUCAGGAGGAACACCGAUGGCGAAGGCAGGUCUCUGGGCAUUAACUGACGCUGAGGAGCGAAAGCGUGGGGAGCGAACAGG